rnacentral:tRNA from 1 species
GUCUCCAUGGCGUAAUGGUUAGCACAUCUGCUUUGCACACAGAAGGUCCUGGGUUCGUGCCCUUGGUGGAGCCA